rnacentral:rRNA from 1 species
UACGUAGGUGGCGAGCGUUGUCCGGAAUUACUGGGUGUAAAGGGCGUGUAGGCGGGGAAACAAGUCAGAUGUGAAAUUCCAGGGCUCAACUCUGGCGCUGCAUCUGAAACUGUAUCUCUUGAGUGCUGGAGAGGAAAGCGGAAUUCCUAGUGUAGCGGUGAAAUGCGUAGAUAUUAGGAGGAACACCAGUGGCGAAGGCGGCUUUCUGGACAGUAACUGACGCUGAGGCGCGAAAGCGUGGGGAGCAAACAGG